UGCGUAGGCGGUUUCUUAAGUCAGUGGUGAAAUCCUGCGGCUUAACCGUAGAAUUGCCAUUGAUACUGUUGCCCUUGAGUAUAGUUGAAGUGGGCGGAAUAUGUAAUGUAGCGGUGAAAUGCAUAGAGAUUACAUAGAACACCAAUUGCGAAGGCAGCUCACUAAGCUAUCACUGACGCUGAGGCACGAAAGCGUGGGGAGCGAACAGGAUUAGAUACCCUGGUAGUCC
rnacentral:rRNA from 1 species